rnacentral:rRNA from 1 species
GAUGAACGCUGGCGGCGUGCCUAAUACAUGCAAGUCGAGCGAACAGACGAGGAGCUUGCUCCUCUGACGUUAGCGGCGGACGGGUGAGUAACACGUGGAUAACCUACCUAUAAGACUGGGAUAACUUCGGGAAACCGGAGCUAAUACCGGAUAAUAUAUUGAACCGCAUGGUUCAAUAGUGAAAGACGGUUUUGCUGUCACUUAAAGAUGGAUCCGCGCCGCAUUAGCUAGUUGGUAAGGUAACGGCUUACCAAGGCAACGAUGCGUAGCCGACCUGAGAGGGUGAUCGGCCACACGGGAACUGGGACACGGUCCAGACUCCUACGGGAGGCAGCAGUAGGGAAUCUUCCGCAAUGGGCGAAAGCCUGACGGAGCAACGCCGCGUGAGUGAUGAAGGUCUUCGGAUCGAAAAACUCUGUUAUUAGGGAAGAACAAAUGUGGAAGUAACUAUGCACGUCUUGACGGUACCUAAUCAGAAAGCCACGGCUAACUACGUG